CUUGGGCGUCAGCCUGAGUGGAGUCAUCCUUGGGAUACCACCCUGACAGUACUGGGGUUCUAACCGGCGGCCAUGAAUCUGGUCACGGGACAUUGUUAGGUGGGCAGUUUGACGGGGGCGGUCGCCUCCUAAAAAGUAACGGAGGCGCCCAAAAGUUCCCUCAGCGCGGUCGGAAAUCGCGCGAAGAGUGCAAAGGCAGAAGGGAGCUUGACUGCGACACAUACAGGUGGAGCAGGGACGA
rnacentral:rRNA from 1 species